UGAUUUUAUUAUAGUUAAAUUUUUUAUUAUUAUUUUAUUUUACAUGUAAAUUUUUGUGGGUAAAAGUUAAUUUUUUAAAAAAGUUAAUUUAAUUUAUUAUUCUCAGUAAUUAAUAUUAAUAUAUAAAAAGAAAUUUUGUAUUAGUAAUAAUAUUUAAUAUUGGUAAAAUUUGUGCCAGCUACCGCGGUUAUACAAAUAAUGUUAAUAAAAAUUUUUAAUAUUAGUUAAAUUGUUUAAUUAAUAAUAUAAAUAAAAAUUUAUUAGGUGAAAUUAUUAAAUUAUUAUUAUUAUUAUAUUUUAAUUAAUUUAAGCUAUAAACUUUUUAUAAUAAACUAGGAUUAGAUACCCUAUUAUUGAAAAUAAAUAAUAAAAUAUUAAAGUAGUAUUAGUUAUAUUCUUUAAAUUUAAAUAAUUUGGCGGUAAUUUAGUCUAUUCAGAGGAAUCUGUCCUAUAAUUGAUAAUCCACAUUGAACCUUACUUAAAUUGAUUUAAUUUGUAUAUCGUCGUCAUCAGAAUAUAUUAUAAGAUAAAAUUUUCUUAAUUUAUUAUUUAUAAAAAAUGUCAGAUCAAGGUGCAGUUUAUAUUUAAGUAGAGAUGGAUUACAAUAAAUUUAUUUAAAUGGAUAAAUUUUUGAAAUUAGAAUUUUAAAAUUGGAUUUGAUAGUAUUAUAAAAUAGAUUAUUUAUAAGAUUUUAGCUCUAAAUUAUGUACAUAUCGCCCAUCGUUCUUAUUAUUAAAAUAAGAUAAGUUGUAACAAAGUAGAUGUACUGGAAAGUGUAUCUAGAAAGA
rnacentral:ncRNA from 1 species